rnacentral:ncRNA from 2 species
CCCAUAGGAUCGGACUCCGGUUCCGCUGGUGAACAGCCAGCGGAGGCAACGGGGAAAGCCGGUGAAAGUCCGGCACUGUCCCGCAGCUGUGAUGGCGGAGUGAGCCUGGCUCGCUCCCGCCCAGUCAGAACGCCCGCCGGUUUUCCUGAUCUCUC